GGGGAUGAUCGGAUUUGAUAGGAAGUUUUUUUGCGAAAAGCGCAUCUUCAAGCGUGAAGCAACGCUUGUCAAUCUCAUGCUUCAUCUUCAUAAGUGCAAAAUCAUUUGCCAGCAGAGUACGGACUGCAUUUGCGCAUAGCUUUGCAAUGCCGAACUUUGCGCCAGCUUUCGCGUAAUAUCGCUUGAGCCGCUCUCCUCUAACUAUCGGGGUUGAGAAACAGAGUGUCAUAUUCCCGAUGUAGGAUACGGUCUUCGGCUUCUUAGGCAAUAUCCGAAACUUAUAAGAGGCACUCGUACGCCGCCAAGGUUGUCUGCCGCCGACAGCGUACGCACCUACGGCAGGCUAUAAGAUGUAGUGGCUCUUCGCAUCAUGCUUACUAGACGUGGGUUCGAUUCCCACCAUCUCCACCA
rnacentral:tmRNA from 7 species